CCAGUGGAGCCAGUGGGGCGGGGACUUAUGAAGUGACCAGAGGGGUGGGCCUGGGCUGAGGCAAAGGGAAUGAAGGCCCGGAUCGGCUGGGGCCUUAGACGUGCAACCGGCAGGGUCAGAAGGGACGAGGAUUUGGGAUUGGAGUUACCAGGGCUGUCUGGGAGAAAGAAAGUGGGCGCCGGGGAGAAGGAAUGAGGCAGCCGGAGAAGGGAUUGGAAGUAAAACGGAGAGCAGAGGGGGCCCUAGCCCGUCAGCGGGCUGCACCCUUCCCAGAGGGCCUCGAUGCCCAAACACCGCCCCUCCAAACCCCCCAGUCGUCCUGCUUCCCCAAACCCAUUCGCCCCUGCCUUAGUCUGGGAUCUCUUGGAUCUGGUUUGGUCGUGGGAGUGGCCUACUUUGAAAACGUAAUCGGGGUACCUUUGCCAAAAAAAAAAAAGGUUGCUUUCUGCCAACCUACCUGAAGGCUACUCAAAAAGGAAACCGCUUGCACUCCGAGUUGAGCCGCCCUAUAAAACACACGCCCACACGCACUUCAUCAUCAUUAAACGUUAUUUAAAUGCCCACAUUCCUUUGUAGGCUUUACUAAUGAGCCUAUUUGUCCUGUUAUCUCACGGCCACUUUUCUUUUUGGAAACUGAAGUGGCUUACAAUAUCACCACCACCUUUGGAAGAUCUCCGGUGUCAUUCUUCCUUCCCACUCCUAUGGCCCACCCCUCCUUCCAAGCCAAGCAGGAUCUCAAGGAGUAUAGAUGAUUAUUCUUUCUUUUUCCCCUAAAGGAAUCUCCCAAACACAAACCUAACGAAUCAACUCAAAUAUUUAUUUGAGCACCUGUGUACUAGGUGCACAUCUUAUAUAUUGUAAGCUCCUUGAGGGCCAGAACUGUCUCUUGCCUCUUUUUGUAUCCAACGUGCCUCGAAUAGAGUAGGUUCUUAAUAAAUGUUGAUUGAAUGGGACUGAAUUGCUACUGAGCAUGCAGCUCUCUGAAAUUGCAUUUUUUCCUAUUGGAUUACAUAAAUAAGUCACUUCCAAAAAAAAAAAAAAAAAAAAAAAAAGACAUAUGGAGCUUUGUACAGGUGCCUGGCACAUACGAGGCACUAAAUAAAUGUUUCUUAACUUGAAAUGUUAGGACUGUAAUGAUAUACAUUCUAUAAAGUAUAUUUUUUGAAUAUAAAAAUAAGACGAUUUUCUUUUUUCCUUUUUUCAAGUAUUUUAUCCAUGAGUUUAUAUAGCAGUUUAUGGUUUGCAAAACCUUUUCCCCACAACCAUUCUCUGAGUGAGAACCACAUCUAGGAGGAAAGCAAAGCAGAAAACAAACCAAAUGUACAACAUAAGAACAUGAGCAAGCCUAGUCACCAACAAUGAGAACCCUGUUAGGAACAGCUGGAAGGAACCAACUGCCAAUCCUCAACUGGCACAGAAAUUUCUGGAACUCCUUACUCCAACAUUCUGUCCUGUUGAAAACUAAUCAUCAAAAAUAUCCCAUUUAUUUCUGAAAUAUCUGCAAAGAUGAAAGAGUCGUCAGUUGUUACACAGCAUGGUGAAUGAAACAGGGCAUGUGGAGUGGGAAAGGCCUGUUUUUCAAUACUACCUCACACGCAUAUUAGCAGUUCCCUGGGGCCAAGCACCGGUCUUACACAUAAAUGUUUAAGAGAAGUUUGUCUGAUUGAUUGAGUUAGAUCUUGAAAGAAGAUUGAUGGACAGCAGAUGAGAGGACAAGUGUACUAGACACAAUGAAGAGAUUUGUCUUGAUAAUGUGUAUCUCUGAAAUUUUCCAUUACCUUUACUUGUAAGUUCACAUUUGCAAAGUAAAUCUCUAUAGCAACUAGUUAGCACCUUCUAGAUACCAUAAUUGUAAUUUAGGUAACUACAAUUAAAUUGUAAGCUUCUAGAA